GCCUAUCUUAUUCUUGAAGGAUACACUCUGAGAACAUGCCCACUUCUUGGACCUGGGAAGAAGAAACGGAAUGCUGCAAGUUACUUCAUAUCAGAACUUGUAUGGUGUUGGCCUCCCUGAAGUUUUGCAUGCGCCAGGCUUUGAAAUUGUAACAUAAAUAAACCUCCCUUCAAAAAACUUUCCGUCCAUUUCCUUCACAGCCAGCUUGGCAGACUCUUCACUGGUAAACCAAACAAAUGCAGACCCUAAAGAUUGCUUAGUUUUUUUAU
rnacentral:misc_RNA from 1 species